rnacentral:rRNA from 1 species
UACGUAGGAGGCGAGCGUUGUCCGGAAUUACUGGGCGUAAAGAGCGCGUAGGUGGCGCGAUACGACCGGUGUGAAAUCCUCCGGCUCAACUGGAGGGGGUCACUGGUAACGGUCGUGCUGAUGAGUGCAGGAGAGGGACGUGGAACUCCGGGAGUAGCGGUGAAAUGCGUAGAGACCCGGAGGAACACCAGUGGCGAAGGCGGCGUCCUGGCCUGC